GACGAACGCUGGCGGCGUGCUUAACACAUGCAAGUCGAACGGAAAGGCCCUUCGGGGUACUCGAGUGGCGAACGGGUGAGUAACACGUGGGUGAUCUGCCCUGCACUUUGGGAUAAGCCUGGGAAACUGGGUCUAAUACCGAAUAGGACCACGCGCUUCAUGGUGUGUGGUGGAAAGCUUUUGCGGUGUGGGAUGGGCCCGCGGCCUAUCAGCUUGUUGGUGGGGUAAUGGCCUACCAAGGCGACGACGGGUAGCCGGCCUGAGAGGGUGACCGGCCACACUGGGACUGAGAUACGGCCCAGACUCCUACGGGAGGCAGCAGUGGGGAAUAUUGCACAAUGGGCGCAAGCCUGAUGCAGCGACGCCGCGUGAGGGAUGACGGCCUUCGGGUUGUAAACCUCUUUCAAUAGGGACGAAGCGCAAGUGUCGGUACCUAUAGAAGAAGCACCGGCCAACUACGUG
rnacentral:rRNA from 1 species